rnacentral:rRNA from 1 species
UACGUAGGUGGCAAGCGUUGUCCGGAAUUAUUGGGCGUAAAGCGCGCGCAGGUGGUUCCUUAAGUCUGAUGUGAAAGCCCACGGCUCAACCGUGGAGGGUCAUUGGAAACUGGGGGACUUGAGUGCAGAAGAGGAAAGUGGAAUUCCACGUGUAGCGGUGAAAUGCGUAGAGAUGUGGAGGAACACCAGUGGCGAAGGCGACUUUCUGGUCUGUAACUGACACUGAGGCGCGAAAGCGUGGGGAGCGAACAGG